CUACGGGAUGCUGCAGUGAGGAAUAUUGCGCAAUGGGGGAAACCCUGACGCAGCGACGCCGCGUGGAUGAUGAAGGCCUUCGGGUUGUAAAAUCCUGUCAGGAGGGAAGAAGUGUAUGGUAGCUAAUAUCUGCCAUAUUUGACGGUACCUCCAAAGGAAGCACCGGCUAACUCCGUGCCAGCAGCCGCGGUAAUACGGAGGGUGCAAGCGUUGUUCGGAAUUACUGGGCGUAAAGCGCGCGUAGGCGGCUAUUUAAGUCAGAUGUGAAAGCCCAUGGCUCAACCAUGGACGUGCAUUUGAUACUGGAUAGCUUGAGUAUUGGAGGGGGUGGUGGAAUUCCCGGUGUAGAGGUGAAAUUCGUAGAUAUCGGGAGGAGUACCGGUGGCGAAGGCGACCACCUGGCCAAAUACUGACGCUGAGGUGCGAAAGCGUGGGGAGCAAACAGGAUUAGAUACCCGCGUAGUC
rnacentral:rRNA from 1 species